rfam:Plasmopara halstedii genome assembly, contig: Scaffold_253
GUCAGUGUCGUCUAGUGGUUAGGACGCGAGCUUCACACGCUCGAGAUCGAGGGUUCAAUCCCCUCCUCUGAUA